CGGCCCGCGGGCCGCGCCGGCUGCGGAUCAGGUGGAGGGUGGCGCUGGCUGCUGCGGGCUCAGCUCCACAUCCCCUCCACCUCGCACCCCGCGCCUGUGCCCGGGCCCCCGACUCUCCGGCCUCCCUUCCUGGACUGGCCAGGACGCGGAGGCUGAGCUCUCCGCGGCCCCAGUGCCAAUGCCCUGCCGGCUGCCCCGGGGCCCGGCUGCCGCGCUGCUCGCUGUCCUGUGCCUGGGGCUCCUGUCCCUCCGCCUCCACUCCAGGCUGUCCCCCCGGGGGGUGCAGGAGCACCCUGGGCUGAGCGCUCCGAGUCCCCAGCCCCGUGGGCUGCAGCUUCAGGACGUCUUCAUCGCGGUCAAGACCACCCGGGCCUUCCACCGCUCGCGUCUGGACCUGCUACUGGACACGUGGGUCUCUAGGACCAAGCAACAGACUUUCGUCUUCACUGACAGCGGGGACAAAGGCCUCCAGGAGAGACUGGGGUCCCACCUUGUGGUCACCAACUGCUCUGCAGAGCACAGCCACCUGGCUCUGUCCUGCAAGAUGGCCGCUGAGUUUGACGCCUUCCUGGCCAGCGCGCUCUGGUGGUUCUGCCACGUGGACGACGACAACUACGUGAACUCCAGGGCGCUGCUACAGCUGCUGGAAGCCUUGCCACAGGACCGCGACGUCUACGUGGGCAAACCCAGUCUGAACCGGCCGAUCCACACCUCCGAGCCCCGGCCGCACAACCGCACGCCAAUCAUUAGGCCAAGGGAUGUGGCCCUGUGCUCCAUCUUUCCAGAGGAUCCACAUCCCUGUGAUCCAGGGAAGCAGAGGCUGGUACAGUUCUGGUUCGCCACAGGGGGCGCCGGCUUCUGCAUCAACCGCAAAUUAGCUUUGAAGAUGGCUCCGUGGGCCAGUGGCUCCCGCUUUGUGGACACAUCUGCUCUCAUCCGGCUGCCUGAUGACUGCACCGUGGGCUACAUCAUCGAGUGCAAGCUGGGGGGGCGCCUGCAGCCCAGCCCCCUCUUCCACUCGCACCUGGAGACCCUGCAGCUGCUGGGCGCUGCCCAGCUCCUGGAGCAGGUCACUCUCAGCUAUGGUGUCUUUGAGGGAAAACUCAAUGUCAUUAAGCUGCCAGGUCCCUUCUCCCCGGAAGAAGACCCCUCCAGUCUCCCUAUUUGUAACACUCAAAGGCUGGGCCUGGUGGAUGUGUAGGCUCUCCCGGCUCUGAGCCUCUGGAUUCGUCAGGUACCCUGGAAGACUAAGCAGUCUUCAUUAAGCGAAGAGGUCCUCCGUGUGAUGGUGGAACUUCAUACCCGUGGGGGUGGGCGGGUUAUUUAGUAAUCUGGGCUCCUUGCUUCUUUGACAUCCUUGCUGUUCUGCUUAGCACAGGUACGGGAGGUGGGGGCUGCCACCUUAGCCCGCACAGACUGUGAUGUGCAGGUCCUGUGCCCCUGGCUGCCGGCUGUGGCUGUGCUCCGGCUGGGCCGAGGGGGAGGAGUGGGUGCCCGGUGCCCACCCCCAGCCUGGCUCUCAGCCCUCCCGGCACCCUGGCCGAGCAUCGGGCUGGCUGUGCCUUGUGAGCCUCCAGCCAGGAGGAGCCCCUCCCUCCUGCAGCGACCGCUCCACCCUGGGCCCCCUGACUGUCCCCAGCCUCCCUCCCGUUGCGCCCCUUGUCAGCAAUGCAGGGAGGGCUUGGGAGCUGGGGAGCAAGCAGGGGCUCAGGAAGACAGCAAGCGGGGAGGAGGUGGGGCAAGCCUGGGGCCCACCGAGGGAUGAGACCUUUCCAGAGGGAGCCCCGGGCCGCUGGACACAACUGUGUGGGAACGAAGGGGGAACAUGGCGCGGCUGAGUAGUGGAAGGUUUCGCUCCCUGCACUGCCUGCUCUACCCGGACACGCCUUGGUGCCCACAGCUGGCAGCCCGAUGAGCUACUGGCAGGGGCGGGCAGUGCUUCUGGCUCAGCCAGUGCCUUCUGGGGCGGAGCUGUGGGCCUUGGCGCGUGCCAGGCUGCCGGGAAGCCCCGGAUCAGGAUGGCACCUGGCACCAAGCAUCGCAGGCCCUCAAGAUGGGUGAGGGCCAGAGAGGCCGCAGGGCUGGCUCCUGUCUACAGUGCCCAGCUGGAUGAGGACGGGGACACUUGAGCUGGGCUGGCGUAUCAGUCCUUCUGCCAGGGCUCAAGCAGCGGACACAGCUCAAGCUGAGAUUGCUCUUAGGGCCCCAGGGGAAUCAUGGCACGGUCCAGGUCUGUGACUGAUGAUGUCCCAUCUCUGGGAGCUCCGUGCUGCCCAGCUCUUGCUAAAAAGCUCAGGCUUUGGAGCCACAGGAUACUCUGACCCAGGUGAUGGAUCAGAAUGGAUCCCCCCCUAGUUGCGUUGAUCCUUUUGCUUUCUUCUCCACUGCCCUGCUGGAAGGAGUGACCAUGUGACCCAGCUCUGACCAGCGAGAACUCAGCAAAGCCAAUAGCGAUGUUUCCGGGUGAGGUUGUGCAGCUGCGUACCCUGUCUUCCUGUUAUUAAUGUGGGUGUGAAGGCUGGAUUUGGGGAAGCCACUUUAGCCCCACGAAGGAAAGGCCAAGACAAAUCAUCCACAGUGUCCCCGCCAGCAUCGAGUUCUGUAUGAAAUUAAAGCUUUAUUUAAGUCCCUCAGA